rnacentral:lncRNA from 12 species
AAAAUCUCUCCAGAAAAGUAGAAGAGAAAGAAAAAUUUUUGUUGGGAUAUAACAACGAGGAGCAGGCAAGAAAUAGCAUACUUUCAAAACAGUCACUUGAUUUCAAACCUCUCUGCACUAACUCAUCACUCCAUGAACCCUCUCAUCAAACUACAACAGAAUUAUCCCCCUAGAACCCAGCUGGCAGAGGGGUCUGGGGAAUGCACUAUUCUGAAUCCCCACCUCUGCACCCUACAGAAAAAGAGGAGAGUGAGUUUAAGAAUAAGAAACACUUACUUAAAAUGCAAACCAACUUGCCACAGUCCUGACCUACUCGCUCCAAUUUCUGAAUGUCAAACACUUAGAGCAAUUGUUGGCUGUCAGAGUAUGAAGUCUGUGGAAGCAGAGAAACUGGACAUUUGGCAUUUCAGCAUUCUGAAAGGCAGCAGCAACCAGGCAGCCAGAGACAAAUGUGGAAACCACAGGAGAGAACAAGAAGAACAGGACAACCUCCUCCAACUGAUAGAAAGUGACUCAGCUGGAAGAGACAUUGCAAACAUCAAGAGAUAGAGAG